GUCACCGCUUAGUGAAGGCUAAUAGUAACAACUAUUUAUAUGGAACAUUUACAAAAUCACCAGCACUGUGCAGAGAAUUUGACAUGAUCCUAACUAAGUCACCUCCCCAGAGCUUACCCUGGAUUUUUUUAUUAUCCCCAUUUUUUAGAUUAAGAACUAAGGCUGUGAGCAGGGAAAUACCUUGCCCAAGGCUACAUUGCUGAUUUUACAGACUGGAGAAUUGAGGCCCAGAAUGUCUAACCCUGCCAGAGCCAAAGAGCAAGAAGGAGUCAACUUCAAUUCCAUGUCUUUGCCAGCUGGAGAGGCCCAUGGGACAAGGAACUGAGGGAGGCCAUCCACCAUUGCAAUGAAGGAACAGAGGCCCUCAGCCCAGUCACCCUGGAGGGACUGAAUUCCAACAACAACUAUGAGUGAGCCCAGAAUUGGAGCCUUCAGAUGAGACCACAACCCUGGCUAACACCUUGAUUGCAGCUUUGUGAGAGAUCCUAAGCCAGAGGCCCCCAGCUAAGUGAUACAUGGAUUUCUGACCCACAGAAACUGUGCAGCUAUGGUUGACUCACUGCUGCCUGAAGCU
rnacentral:lncRNA from 1 species